AUAUAUCUUAAUGGUAUCAGAGUAAGCAUUCGCAUCCCCAUGGCUUAUGCAUUCAUGUAUGUUCUCAUGGUGUCUCUGGGGAGUGUAAGUGUGUAUCCCACAUUGAUGUGACACGACCCUAUAAUUGUCUAUAUGUUGGAGUCUGACUCUCUCCUCUCCAUAACUGUUCUUUCCGAGAGAGGUAAUAUUGGACUCUACAUAUAUAUCUUACAUAAACAAAUCUAAAAGAACAAUUUUUAUCAAGUUAAACAAAUUGCUAGAUAUUACUUGUAUGUAUUUAANAAUAAAAUGGGAAAAAAAUACAUAAAAUGACAUGUGGCAAAAUGAAUAAAAAUGUGACAUGUGGCAAAAUAAUAUUUUUAUUUAUUAUAGUAGAUGUUAUACCCUUUACAAGCAUGGUUCGCAAGACAAGUUUAAGGGAUUAAGACUUAUGGUGAUGAUAACUCGUUGGAUAAAUAGCAUAAAAGACACUAAGUUUACACUAAAAUUCCAAUUUGAUACUGUGUUUUUUUUCUUUAAUUUAACAUUGUAUUUUUCAAUUUUUUACAAUUCUGACUACUUGACCGGUCAACCCAGUUACCUACUGAUGUGGCAUGAUGACGUGUCAUGCUUACAUAACAUUUUAAUGUGUUAAAAUUAAAAUUUUCCCAAUAGAAGACACUAAAUUUUAACUUUUUUUUAUAUUAAGUUUAUUUUUUUCUUUCAAUUUUGACACUUUUUUUUUGUUCCAAAUAGAACAUCAUUUUUUUCCAAUUUGUUCAAUAUUGACCAUUUCCAUUUGAAAUCUUAAAAAUAUUUUAUUAAUACAUUUUAAACCGCACAAAUACAUUUUUUUCAUUUAAAAAACAUAUUUUUAUAUAAAUACAAGGGUUUUUUACAUUCAAACCAUAAUUUUAUGUAUAAAUAUGUAUUAGAUAUAUAAAAGCCGUAUUUUAUAUUAAAUACGCGCCUUUAAAAUAAGUUUAGAGGUUUGGAGGCAUGUAGUCAAUCAAGGUCAAGUUUGCAACCCCUGAAAUUUUUACAUCUUAUUUGCAAAAUGGUUAGUUUUGUUCUCAUGAUAUAACUAAUGCAUAUUUAUGGAUAACAUUAUGCUUUGAAUUUAAUAAAAAAAUAAAAAAAAUAAAUAAAAACCUUUCUAUUUAAAUAAAAAUGUGGUUUUUAAAUGAAAAAAAUAUAUUUAUACGAUUUAAAAUGUAAUAAAAAUAUAUUUAUACUGUUUCAAAUGAAAAAUUGUCAACAUUGAACAAAAUUGAAAUUGUAACAAAAAAAUUGAGUAUCAAAAUUCGAAAAAAAAAAUAACUUAGUGUCAAAAUCGAAAAAAGUGCAAAACUUAGUGUCUUUUGUAGGAAAAAAUCAAUUUUGACACAUCAGCAUGUCACGUCAUCAUGCCACGUCAGCAGGUAAUCGAGUUGAUCGGUUAAGUGGUCAGAAUUGUAAAAAAAUUAGAAAACACAGUGUCAAAAUUUGAGACAAAAAAAAGAAACAUGGUGUUAAAUUAGAGUUUUGAUGUAAACUUAGUGUCUUUUGUGAUCUUUUCUGACACAUUACAUUGGGUACAUAGUUGUUCCAAUACUCCGAAGCUCGUGUGAAAAUUUUGUGGAAAAUGCAUGAUCAUCUAUACAAGGAAGAUGGUGAAUCAAAAGAACGUGAGAGGGUUUAAGGAGAGUCAUCUUUCCAAUCAUCAUAUGAAGUUUGGGACGAGCAUAUUUGAAUUUAGUAAUAUGUUAGUGUAUCUUACAUUUAUGCUACAGGUUCCUGAAAUUGUCUAUAUAAGUUGAAGUCUUCUUAUAAUUGUCCACAUAUAUCUUAAUGGUAUCAGAGUAAGCAUUCGCAUCCCCAUGGCUUAUGCAUUCAUGUAUGUUCUCAUGGUGUCUCUGGGGAGUGUAAGUGUGUAUCCCACAUUGAUGUGACACGACCCUAUAAUUGUCUAUAUGUUGGAGUCUGACUCUCUCCUCUCCAUAACUGUUCUUUCCGAGAGAGGUAAUAUUGGACUCUACAUAUAUAUCUUACAUAAACAAAUCUAAAAG
rnacentral:lncRNA from 1 species